GGNAUGCCUAAUACAUGCAAGUCGAACGGAGUAGCAAUACUUAGUGGCGAACGGGUGAGUAACACGUAUCUAAUCUACCAUUUAGUGGGGAAUAACUGUUGGAAACGACAGCUAAUACCGCAUAAUAUUGCUGGAUAAUUUCCAGUAAUGAAAGGAGCUUUCAAGCUCCGCUGAUUGAUGAGGAUGCGGCGCAUUAGCUAGUUGGUAGGGUAAUGGGCUACCAAGGCAAUGAUGCGUAGCCGAUCUGAGAGGAUGAACGGCCACAUUGGGACUGAGACACGGCCCAAACUUCUACGGAAGGCAGCAGUAGGGAAUUUUUCACAAUGGGCGAAAGCCUGAUGGAGCAAUGCCGCGUGACUGAUGAAGGUCUUCGGAUUGUAAAGGUCUGUUGUAAGGGAAGAAAUGGUAAAACAGGAAAUGGUUUUAUCUAUGACGGUACCUUACCAGAAAGCCACGGCUAACUAUGUGCCAGCAGCCGCGGUAAUACAUAGGUGGCAAGCGUUAUCCGGAUUUAUUGGGCGUAAAGGGUGCGUAGACGGUUUUGCAAGUCUGAGGUUAAAUUUAGGAGCUCAACUCCUAAUCGCCUUGGAAACUACAAGACUAGAGUAUAGGAGAGGUUAGUGGAAUUCCAUGUGUAGCGGUGGAAUGUGUAGAUAUAUGGAGGAACACCAGUGGCGAA
rnacentral:rRNA from 1 species